rnacentral:piRNA from 1 species
UGCACACAAGUGGAUCACACUUAAGCUA